UGAGGCAGGAGGAUUGCUUGAGCCCAGGAGUUUGAGGUUGCUGUGAGCUAGGCUGACGCCAUGGCCACUCACUCUAGCCUGGACAACAAAGUGAGACUCUGUCUCAAAANNNNNNNNNNUCUAUUUUUUUUUUUUUUUUUUUUUGAGACAGAGUCUCACUUUGUUGUCCAGGCUAGAGUGAGUGGCCAUGGCGUCAGCCUAGCUCACAGCAACCUCAAACUCCUGGGCUCAAGCAAUCCUGCUGCCUCAGCCUCCCGAGUAGCUGGGACUACAGGCAUGCGCCACCAUACCCAGC
rnacentral:SRP_RNA from 1 species